AAUAGAUACCCUGGUAGUCCACGCCGUAAACGAUGAGUGCUAAGUGUUAGAGGGCUUCCACCCUUUAGUGCUGCAGCUAACGCAUUAAGCACUCCGCCUGGGGAGUACGGCCGCAAGGCUGAAACUCAAAGGAAUUGACGGGGGCCCGCACAAGCGGUGGAGCAUGUGGUUUAAUUCGAAGCAACGCGAAGAACCUUACCAGGUCUUGACAUCCUUCGCUACCUCUAGAGAUAGAGGGUUCCCCUUCGGGGGACGGAGUGACAGGUGGUGCAUGGUUGUCGUCAGCUCGUGUCGUGAGAUGUUGGGUUAAGUCCCGCAACGAGCGCAACCCUUGACCUUAGUUGCCAGCAUUCAGUUGGGCACUCUAAGGUGACUGCCGGUGACAAACCGGAGGAAGGUGGGGAUGACGUCAAAUCAUCAUGCCCCUUAUGACCUGGGCUACACACGUGCUACAAUGGAUGGUACAAAGGGUCGCGAAACCGCGAGGUGGAGCCAAUCCCAAAAAACCAUUCUCAGUUCGGAUUGCAGGCUGCAAC
rnacentral:rRNA from 1 species